rnacentral:rRNA from 1 species
UACGUAGGGUGCUAGCGUUGUCCGGAUUUAUUGGGCGUAAAGGGCGCGUAGGCGGCUCAUGAAGGCUGUGGUGAAAGUCCGGGGCUCAACCUCGGAUCGGCCGUGGCGACUCGUGGGCUGGAGCACUGUAGAGGCGGGUGGAAUUCCGGGUGUAGCGGUGGAAUGCGUAGAGAUCCGGAAGAACACCAGUGGCGAAGGCGGCCCGCUGGGCAGUGGCUGACGCUGAGGCGCGACAGCGUGGGGAGCAAACAGG